UACGUAGGGUGCAAGCGUUGUCCGGAAUUAUUGGGCGUAAAGAGCUCGUAGGCGGUCUGUCGCGUCUGCUGUGAAAACUCGGGGCUUAACCCCGGGCCUGCAGUGGGUACGGGCAGACUAGAGUGCGGUAGGGGAGACUGGAAUUCCUGGUGUAGCGGUGGAAUGCGCAGAUAUCAGGAGGAACACCGAUGGCGAAGGCAGAUCUCUGGGCCGUAACUGACGCUGAGGCGCGAAAGUGUGGGGAGCGAACAGG
rnacentral:rRNA from 1 species